rnacentral:tRNA from 1 species
GCCCCUGUAACUCAGACGGAUUAGAGUGGCAGACUGCUAAUCUGAAAGUCGGGAGUUCGAGCCUCCCCAAGAGUACC